rnacentral:rRNA from 1 species
GACGAACGCUGGCGGCGUGCCUAAUACAUGCAAGUCGAGCGAGACUCUUCGGAGUCUAGCGGCGGACGGGUGAGUAACACGUGGGCAACCUGCCUGUAAGACUGGGAUAACACCGGGAAACCGGUGCUAAUACCGGAUAAACCUUUUCCUCUCAUGAGGAAAAGCUGAAAGUCGGUUUCGGCUGACACUUACAGAUGGGCCCGCGGCGCAUUAGCUAGUUGGUGAGGUAAUGGCUCACCAAGGCGACGAUGCGUAGCCGACCUGAGAGGGUGAUCGGCCACACUGGGAGUGAGACACGGCACAGACUCCUACGGGAGGCAGCAGUAGGGAAUCUUCCACAAUGGACGAAAGUCUGAUGGAGCAACGCCGCGUGAGCGAUGAAGGCCUUCGGGUCGUAAAGCUCUGUUGUUAGGGAAGAACAAGUACCGGAGUAACUGCCGGUACCUUGACGGUACCUAACCAGAAAGCCACGGCUAACUACGUGCCAGCCGCCGCGGUAAAAC